UACAGAGGUCUCAAGCGUUGUUCGGAUUCAUUGGGCGUAAAGGGUGCGUAGGCGGCGCGGUAAGUCAGGUGUGAAAUCUCGGGGCUUAACUCCGAAACUGCAUUCGAUACUGCCGUGCUUGAGGACUGGAGAGGAGACUGGAAUUUACGGUGUAGCGGUGAAAUGCGUAGAUAUCGUAAGGAAGACCAGUGGCGAAGGCGGGUCUCUGGACAGUUCCUGACGCUGAGGCACGAAGGCCAGGGGAGCAAACGGG
rnacentral:rRNA from 1 species